AACACAACAUCACUGGGGAAAUGGAUUUGGCACUUUGAGGUAGAGGAAGGGAGGCUUUAGAGACGGGUGAUAGUGGGUAAGUAUAGUAUGCAAGAGGGAGGGUGGUUCAUGAGAAAGGCUUCCCUUUAUAGAGCUUCGAUAGUUUGGAAAGUGGUGGUGGAGAUAGACUAUCUAGUUAGGCGUGGGAUCUCUUUCAAGCUGGGCAAAGGUAAUCAUAUUUGAUUUUGGAUUAGCCCUUGGCGUGGUAGUCAAACUCUUCAAAAUCUUUUUCUGAUAAUUGCUCGUCUUGCUCUUGACAGAUUUGUUACGGUGGCUAAGUGCUAUUCGUUGGUUGAGGGAUUGAUAGUCUAUCCCCACCAUGCCGUAGGGACAUUCUUGAAGGCAAAAUUGAUGAGGUGGCUAAGCUUCUUAACCACCUGAGCAACGUUUAGCCCGAGCUGCAUCAAGAUGAUUACAUGCAUUGGUCCAAACAUCAGUCGGGAAAGUUCUCGGUUAAGUCCUUUUUUGAGCUGAUCAUUGAGGCCCCCUCCCCGUCAGGCUCGGCUUACUCGUUCCGUUUCUAUUUCUAUGGGGCUCCUCCUAGGGUCACGGCCUUUGUGUGGCUCCUUGGUUGGGAGAGAGUUCUUACGAUAUAUAAUUACCAAGGAGAUCCCUCUUGCUCUCUAACAUUUGCCUCAGUGUAUGGCGAAUGGGGAGUCAGUUGAUCAUCUCUUCAUUCAUUGCUCUUUUGUCCGCCAAGUUUGGGAUUACUUCUUGAAUUGCUUGCAAAUGGCUUGUGCAAUGCCAAAAAUGGUUGCAGAAUUAAUUUGGGCGUGGCACAACGGAGGAGUUGGUAAAUCAAGAAAGUUGAUUUGGAGAUUGCUCCUAAUGGCGGUUUUUUGGGUCUUGUGGGGAGCUUGGAAUGGUCCUUGUUUUAACAACAAGGUUGUUAGUCUAGAAAGGUUAUCUACAAAAUUGAAACUUUGAUGUAAGUUGGGUGGUGUGUGCGUAGGUCGCCAUGAGUGGUUCUCUGUUUUUGUUUUUGUGUUGGGGGUUGUAUUCUUUGUCCGCUGUUGCGAUGUUUCAGUAAAUUAUCAUUACCUCUGAAAAAAAGUAUAUUAGGUGCUUGUAUUGGCAUACCUUCUCUAUGCAUACCUAUGUUCUAGUGACUCUUGAGUAGAUGGGCAACUAAUCUUGUGGUCAACCAGUGCCCUGCUAAAUGGUAUUUCUGUCGCUGGUCAAUAGAUUUACCAACUCAUCUGUUUGGGCUACUAGACCCUUGGUCUAAACAGUGGAAAGAGGGGCCAUAUUUAGAGGUCAGAAAGCAUUGGAUUUAAAGGCCAGAUUGGGCACUUUAAAUUAGCAGUUUCUCAGAAAUAAAUCUCAUGCUCAACCCUCAUUUGAAGCUUAAGGGAAUAUGUCCUAAACUGUAAUCUUCCAAAACCUUGCAAGUUAGUGUUUUCCUUGCAUGUUUCUAAUGGCCUUGAUCAGUCUCCAAUUUGUCAUUUAACCAAUUAGAUUGAACUGAAUUCAGCAAAUUGAUUCAGGGGUGGAACUGCAGUUACCAAUCUUUGAGUUACUUGUGUCUUUGCAAGCAAGCGUGGUUACUAUGAGUAGCACAAGGAGGUAGACAGAUGAAGAAGUUACAAGGAGCUCAUUGAUGCCUUGAUGAAUGGUGGAGCUUUCGCAUGGUCAAAUAAGCAAUAAACGUCGACCAAUCUGAUGGGUUAAGCGUUGCUGAAAGGAAGUAUGCUAUGUCUGUAUAAAUGCUGCUGGAAUACAGUGGCAUGAUUGCAGCUGUCACAAUGAACACCAAAGUAUCGGACUGGAGCCUAUCUCAGACGGCUGUGGCUGCUCUCCGUGACUCUCAACAUUGUUAUUGUUGGCCUCUUGAUUGAUACUUGGCCAUGGAGCUCGCUAGUGAAUGGUCAGUCUCAAAUGCGUUGCUGUGGAGGAUUACAGUAUGAUUGAAGGGGCUCAUUUGGCACCCCUAGAGAAACAGGUGUCUUCAAGCAGAUCCAGGCAGAUAUUCCAAACUCAGUCAGAUGCCUCUUUUUUUACCGAGGAUGCUACUAUGUGAUUAAUCUCAGGAAUGGUGCAUUUCCAGCAGGAGAAGUGAUCAACAAUCACUGGAUGCAUGCUAACUUGCAUCCAGUCCAUCUUUCCGGGUAAAACGUCAUUUGUGUAGGUCAUUCAAACCAUGAAAACGAUGGGCCCCACUAUCAAGAUUCCCUGCACAAAAGUGACUCUGAUCUGCUCAUUAGGCAGGACACAUGGGCACGUUUAGUGGGAUUGGCAGCUGUCCAUGAGUUUUGAUGGUGUCCCACCUAAUGAGUGGACUGGACUGAUUUUUGUGCCACAUGAAAUUCACGUAUGGGUUGGCUGUUUGCAUGGAUCCAAUGUGCUAUAAAAAUGAUGCGUUGGUGAGAAACAUGGGGCUGCAUGCCAAGCAACCUGCAGCGGGUUGUAGGUGAUCAGUCUUCUUUCCACAUUCCAGCUCUCUUGCUCAUAACCUGGGGUGCUCCCCUCCUUGGAUUGGCUAUAGUCUAGACAUCCCACUGAUUGGACAAUACCACCAUCCAAUUGGAGGGCUCUUGCUUAUUAAAUGUGAAAAGUUGCUCUUUAUUUAUUUAUUUAUUUUUUACUUUCAGCCGAGUCCAUGAUGGUGAAGAUCACCUGAUCAGCAUGGUAGUUGAAGGCAGUGCCUCCAGAUGAAUGGGCCCGAGCCACAAAGGCACUUCUAGUCCUAUGCUAUCAUUUAUUUGUCUGCAUGCCUAAGUUUUGAUGAGCCCAAAUCCACCUCUAUGCUCGCUGCUUCAUGUUGGACUUACUGACUUUUGCAUCUAGUAGGCCCCACCAUGUACAUGACCUGGCCCAAAGAAUGAUGCGCAUCCACUCUGCUGACGUGUUUAAGUGGAUCUUUUUUUUUUUUUUUUUUUUUUUUUCAGGUUAUCUACCAUUGUGCCUCCUGACGUGUUAAGCGGGUCUUGAAGGGGGGACCAUUACCAAUCUAUGUAAUCUACUGUUGUGCCUCCUUUUGCAGGGCUCAGAUGCUAAUCUUCCAUGCCAAAUUUACAUGCGGCCCGUAACAGCGCACACCUGUAUGAUAUAUGUGAACCCUUCAUCAGGCAGGCAACCCCACGGAUGCAAUAUUGGUACAAAAUCAGGUUCGUCGGACGAUACUACUUGAUUUGGGUAUUGAGGAUGGAUCUUUGUCAAUGUUUAUUUAUUUAUUUAUUUAU